rnacentral:rRNA from 1 species
GGGGAAUUUUCCGCAAUGGGCGAAAGCCUGACGGAGCAAUACCGCGUGCGGGACGAAGGCUUUUGGGUCGUAAACCGCUUUUGUUAGGGAAGAAGAACUGACGGUACCUAACGAAUCAGCAUCGGCUAACUCCGUGCCAGCAGCCGCGGUAAUACGGAGGAUGCAAGCGUUAUCCGGAAUUAUUGGGCGUAAAGCGUCCGCAGGUGGUUUAUCAAGUCUGCUGUCAAAGCAUGGGGCUUAACUCCAUAUCGGCAGUGGAAACUGAGAGACUAGAGUACGGUAGGGGUAGCGGGAAUUCCCAGUGUAGCGGUGAAAUGCGUAGAUAUUGGGAAGAACACCAGCGGCGAAAGCGCGCUACUGGGCCGAAACUGACACUCAUGGACGAAAGCUAGGGGAGCGAAAGGGAUUAGAUACCCCUGUAGUCCUAGCUGUAAACGAUGACAACUAGGUGUUGCACGUAUCGACCCGUGCAGUGCCGUAGCUAACGCGUUAAGUUGUCCGCCUGGGGAGUACGCACGCAAGUGUGAAACUCAAAGGAAUUGACGGGGGCCCGCACAAGCGGUGGAGUAUGUGGUUUAAUUCGAUGCAACGCGAAGAACCUUACCAGGACUUGACAUGUCGCGAAUUCUUGUGAAAGUGAGAAGUGCCUUCGGGAGCGCGAACACAGGUGGUGCAUGGCUGUCGUCAGCUCGUGUCGUGAGAUGUUGGGUUAAGUCCCGCAACGAGCGCAACCCUCGUUUCUAGUUGCCAUCAUUGAGUUGGGCACUUUAGAGAGACUGCCGGUGACAAACCGGAGGAAGGUGGGGAUGACGUCAAGUCAGCAUGCCCCUUACGUCCUGGGCUACACACGUACUACAAUGCUGUGGACAAAGAGUUGCGAGCCAGCGAUGGCAAGCUAAUCUCGUAAACCAUGGCUCAGUUCAGAUUGCAGGCUGCAACUCGCCUGCAUGAAGGAGGAAUCGCUAGUAAUCGCAGGUCAGCAUACUGCGGUGAAUACGUUCCCGGGCCUUGUACACACCGCCCGUCACACCAUGGGAGUUGACCACGCCCGAAGUCGUUACUCCAACCGAAAGGAGGGGGAUGCCGAAGGCAGGGCUGAUGACUGGGGUGAAGUCGUAACAAGGUAGCCGUACCGGAAGGUGUGGCUGGAUCACCUCCUU